rnacentral:rRNA from 1 species
CCUACGGGAGGCAGCAGUGGGGAAUAUUGCACAAUGGGGGCAACCCUGAUGCAGCGAAGCCGCGUGAGUGAAGAAGUAAUUCGUUAUGGAAAGCCCUAUCUGCAGGGCAGCAAAUGACGGUACGUGUGUCCGAAUCCCCGGCUAACUACGGUACAGCAGCCGCGGGACUACGUCGGGGGCACGCGUUAUCCGGAUUUACUGGGGGGAAAGGGGGCGUAGGCGGGAGUGCAAGUUUGGAGGGAAAGGGGGGGGGUAAAACCCCGGACUGCCGUGGAAACUGGACGGCUGGAGUGCAGGAGAGGUAAGCGGAAUGCGUGGUGUAGCGGUGAAAUGCGUAGAUAUUAGGAAGAACACCAGUGGCGAAGGCGGCAUACCGGAGUGUAACUGACGCUGAGGCACGAAAGCGUGGGGAGCAAACAGGAUUAGAUACCCCAGUAGUC